rfam:Cavia porcellus supercont2_4 genomic scaffold, whole genome shotgun sequence.
GGGGGUAUAGCUCAGCAGCUUAAGCACCUGCCUUGAAAGCAGGCAGUCGUGAGUUCGAUCCCCGGUACCGAUA